ensembl:misc_RNA Metazoa_SRP Metazoan signal recognition particle RNA
ACCAGGGGUAAAUACUGGUGGCACAUUCCUGUAGUCCCAGCUACUCGGGAGGCUGAGACAGGAGAAUCACUUGAGUCCAGGAGUUCUGGGCUGUAGUGCCCUAUGCCGAUCAGGUGUCCGAACUAAGUUUGGCAUCAAUAUGGUAACCUCCCAGGAGCAGGGGGCCACCAUGUUGCCUGAGGAGAGGUGAACUGGCCCAGGUCAGAAAUGGAGCAGGUCAAAACUUCAGUGUUGAUCAGACUGGACAAUUUAUAAAGAAAAGCUUACUCUUCAUAAUUCUGGAGGCUGGGGAAUUCUCUCAA